rnacentral:rRNA from 1 species
ACGGAAGGCAGCAGUGAGGAAUAUUGGUCAAUGGGCGGAAGCCUGAACCAGCUAAGUCGCGUGAAGGAUGAAGGUAUUAUGUAUUGUAAACUUCUUUAGUCGCAGAAAAAUAGGGAGGUCGUGACCUCUGAUGCUAGUAUGCGAAGAAUAAGGAUCGGCUAACUCCGUGCCAGCAGCCGCGGUAAUACGGAGGAUCCGAGCGUUAUCCGGAUUUAUUGGGUUUAAAGGGUGCGCAGGCGGUUAUUUAAGUCAGUGGUUAAAUCGCGGGGCUCAACUCCGGCCCGCCAUUGAUACUGGGAGACUUGAUUGCGGUCGAGGUUGGCGGAAUUCGUCGUGUAGCGGUGAAAUGCAUAGAUAUGUCGAAGAACACCGAUUGCGUAGGCAGCUGACCAGGCCGUAAAUGACGCUCAUGCACGAAAGUGCGGGGAUCGAACAGGAUUAGAUACCCUGGUA